rnacentral:rRNA from 1 species
AUAUACUGCUCAACUUGUCGAUUCCUGGUCUCGUCAGAUCUCUGAAGCUAAGCGAGCCUGGGCCUGAUUAGGACUUGGAUGGGAGAGCGUUGGAAAGACCACAGUAUUUC